GUUCGCUUUAGUGGGACGCGUUUGUUUGCAUGUUGCGUCAUUUGGCGUGCAUACUAUAGUAGUACGUACGUAUCCUUUGUUGCCAAGUUUCGGACAGUGAGAGGGGAGAAAGUUGGGGUAUUUUUUUUUGGCCAACGAAUCGGACUUUAGUGCGCAGUAGAUCCUUUUUCCCUCGCGUGUCACGAACAAGUGAAAAGAAAAAAUAAUGUGGCUCCAACAACGUGCUGCAAGGCGGCUGAUCAAGUCGGAGACAAUAUCGGGCGAAAGUGCGCGCGGCUGAUACUCUUAUUAUACUUUUCAUUUUUUUCUGCGUCAUCUUCUCUUUCUUUCUUUUUCUUUUUCAUUCGCCCCCCCAACCUUUUUUUUUUAUUUUGCGAAAGAAAAAUUUGAUUUUCUCAAAUGAACUUUCACUUUGAUUCGUUCGUACACGCUGUGACUUGGUGGAUUCCUAUCCAAUUCUUAUUUCUCUCGCUCUUUUCUUUGUUGUUGGUGUUGCUUUUGCCAACAUUUAUUUGUUUUGGGAAAUUCGUUAUUGAACGGUGGAAGAAGAUGCCACAAUGGCGGGCUACUGGAAGCGGCAACAAUACGUGCUGCCAAAACGGAAAGUGAAAUAAAGUACAAUCAAAAUGAAACACGUCACUAAUUCUUCGGGCCAUUGGUGGCAGAGAGAAAACGACGGCCCUCUGCCCCCCCACUGUCAUUGAACAUUCCAGUUUCACACUUGCGGAAGAAAGAAAAAAAAAAAAUCAGGGGAAAAAUUCAAGCGAGGAUAGGGAUAGAAGACGAAAACAUGCCGUUCAUUUGCCGCCCUCAUUACGUAUUCAAUGUCGCAUUAUGAGUCGUAAAACCGACGAUACCUGCACAUGUUCAAUUCAUUUGAAACAACUUUUUCUUUUUGACCGAGACAUCCUUGUGACAAAGCCGAGCAGAAGGCCAAAGAGAACGCGAUGAGUUCAGAGAAUAAACAAAUGCAUUUAAAACGUGAAGCACAGCUGUUAAGAAGACGAGAAACAAUCCAUUGUUAUUCGGCUGAACGCCCGUAAUAACGAAGCUAUUUCUUUUUUAGAGGGAAAGUGAAGUUUUUUUUUAUUGUUGUUCCUCGUUUGCCCUUUCGUCAGCUGGCCGCCUAAUGCCUGGCUGAAUCAGAACAGAGAAACUUUUUACAUCUUAGAUCUUAGCGAUGCAACUGUUGGAACAAAAGUGAAUGUGGCAAUCCGAAGAGAAGAAUUCAGUUUCACUUCGGACCCAACUGGCAUUUAUGUCGCCCUUUCUUAUAGUGUUAUUAGCAUUUUUAGUAUUUUUAUUUGCAAAUAACAAAUGUCGAACAAUGGAACUGUGUUACAUGUACUAGAGCGUGCAAUUGAAUAUGAUUAUGCUGUUGGAUUCCCUGUCGGCCUUCACUGGGCAAAUGCCAACAAUAAAUCAUAUGGCAUAAUCAACUGACUGCACAAUUCAAUAAGCGAUUGAAUGCGAUUGAAAAAAAAUAUAUAUAUAUACGUAUUUGUAAAUUUUUGUUUUUAGAGAGGUACAUCGGCAUUGUUGAAGUGA
rnacentral:lncRNA from 1 species